rnacentral:rRNA from 1 species
UGGGGAAUUUUGGACAAUGGGCGAAAGCCUGAUCCAGCAAUGCCGCGUGUGUGAAGAAGGCCUUCGGGUUGUAAAGCACUUUUGUCCGGAAAGAAAUCCUUGGCUCUAAUACAGUCGGGGGAUGACGGUACCGGAAGAAUAAGCACCGGCUAACUACGUGCCAGCAGCCGCGGUAAUACGUAGGGUGCAAGCGUUAAUCGGAAUUACUGGGCGUAAAGCGUGCGCAGGCGGUUUGCUAAGACCGAUGUGAAAUCCCCGGGCUCAACCUGGGAACUGCAUUGGUGACUGGCAGGCUAGAGUAUGGCAGAGGGGGGUAGAAUUCCACGUGUAGCAGUGAAAUGCGUAGAGAUGUGGAGGAAUACCGAUGGCGAAGGCAGCCCCUGGGCCAAUACUGACGCUCAUGCACGAAAGCGUGGGGAGCAAACAGGAUUAGAUACCCUGGUAGUCCACGCCCUAAACGAUGUCAACUAGUUGUUGGGGAUUCAUUUCCUUAGUAACGUAGCUAACGCGUGAAGUUGACCGCCUGGGGAGUACGGUCGCAA